rnacentral:rRNA from 1 species
CCUACGGGUGACAGCAGUGGGGAAUAUUGGGCAAUGGACGAAAGCCUGACGCAGCGACGCCGCGUGAGGGAAGAAGGUCUUCGGAUCGUAAACCUCUGUCAGCAGGGAAGAACAGUCACUGUGCUAAUCAGCAGUGAAUUGACGGUACCUGCAAAGGAAGCACCGGCUAACUCCGUGCCAGCAGCCGCGGUAAUACGGAGGGUGCGAGCGUUAAUCGGAAUUACUGGGCGUAAAGCGCUCGUAGGCGGUAUGUUAAGUCAAGGGUGAAAUCCCCGCGCUCAACGUGGGAACUGCCUUUGAAACUGGGAAACUUGAGUGUAGAAGCGGAUAGUGGAAUGUCAGGUGUAGGGGUGAAAUGCGUAGAUAUC